rnacentral:piRNA from 1 species
UCUCCCGCUCCUGCAGCAUGAAACAGCU